GACGAACGCUGGCGGCGUGCUUAACACAUGCAAGUCGAACGGUAAGGCCCUUCGGGGUACACGAGUGGCGAACGGGUGAGUAACACGUGGGUGAUCUGCCCUGCACUUCGGGAUAAGCCUGGGAAACUGGGUCUAAUACCGGAUAGGACCCUGGGAUGCAUGUCCUGGGGUGGAAAGCUUUUGCGGUGUGGGAUGGGCCCGCGGCCCAUUAGCUUGUUGGUGGGGUAACGGCCUACCAAGGCGACGAUGGGUAGCUGUUCUGAGAGGAAGAUCAGCCACACUGGGACUGAGACACGGCCCAGACUCCUACGGGAGGCAGCAGUGGGGAAUCUUGCGCAAUGCGCGAAAGCGUGACGCAGCAACGCCGCGUGCGGGAAGACGGCCUUCGGGUUGUAAACCGCUUUCAGUUGGGACGAAGCUUCGCCGGUGAAUAGCCGGCCGGAGUGACGGUACCUUCAGAAGAAGCCCCGGCUAACUACGUGCCAGCAGCCGCCGUAA
rnacentral:rRNA from 1 species